rnacentral:ribozyme from 1 species
GAGAUUCUCACCUCCAAAACCAUCAAGGACCUUGAGAUGGUGAAGCUGCUUUGGUUGGACAAGCAAGGCUUGUACAUCAGGUACCAGGUGUUUGGGGACCACCC